rnacentral:rRNA from 1 species
AUGAACGCUGACAGAAUGCUUAACACAUGCAAGUCAACUUGAAUUUGGGUUUUUAACUUAGGUUUGGGUGGCGGACGGGUGAGUAACGCGUAAAGAACUUGCCUCACAGCUAGGGACAACAUUUGGAAACGAAUGCUAAUACCUAAUAUUAUGAUAAUAGGGCAUCCUAUAAUUAUGAAAGCUAUAAGCGCUGUGAGAGAGCUUUGCGUCCCAUUAGCUAGUUGGAGAGGUAACGGCUCACCAAGGCGAUGAUGGGUAGCCGGCCUGAGAGGGUGAUCGGCCACAAGGGGACUGAGACACGGCCCUUACUCCUACGGGAGGCAACAGUGGGGAAUAUUGGACAAUGGACCAAGAGUCUGAUCCAGCAAUUCUGUGUGCACGAUGAAGUUUUUCGGAAUGUAAAGUGCUUUCAGUUGGGAAGAAAGAAAUGACGGUACCAACAGAAGAAGUGACGGCUAAAUACGUG